UAAUACGGAGGGUGCAAGCGUUAAUCGGAAUUACUGGGCGUAAAGCGAGUGUAGGUGGCUAUGUAAGUCGGAUGUGAAAUCCCCGGGCUCAACCUGGGAACUGCAUUCGAUACUGCAUGGCUAGAGUCUGAUAGAGGGAAGUGGAAUUCCAGGUGUAGCGGUGAAAUGCGUAGAUAUCUGGAAGAACACCAGUGGCGAAGGCGGCUUCCUGGAUCAAGACUGACACUGAGGCUCGAAAGCGUGGGGAGCAAACAGG
rnacentral:rRNA from 1 species